rnacentral:RNase_P_RNA from 16 species
GAGGAAAGUCCGGGCUCCAUAGGGCAGGGUGCCAGGUAACGCCUGGGGGGGAAACCCACGACCAGUGCAACAGAGAGCAAACCGCCGAUGGCCCACGCAAGUGGGAUCAGGUAAGGGUGAAAGGGUGCGGUAAGAGCGCACCGCGCGGCUGGUAACAGUCCGUGGCACGGUAAACUCCACCCGGAGCAAGGCCAAAUAGGGGUUCAUAAGGUACGGCCCGUACUGAACCCGGGUAGGCUGCUUGAGCCAGUGAGCGAUUGCUGGCCUAGAUGAAUGACUGUCCACGACAGAACCCGGCUUA